rnacentral:rRNA from 1 species
AGCGAACGCUAGCGGCGGGCCUAACACAUGCAAGUCGAGCGGAGAACUUCGGUUCUUAGCGGCGGACGGGUGAGUAACACGUAGGUGACGUAUCCUUGGGUGGGGAACAACCGUGGGAAACCAUGGCUAAUACCGCAUAUGUCUUUCGAGAUGAAAGCAGCAAUGCGCCCGGGGAGCGGCCUGCGGCCGAUUAAUUAUUCCUAGUUGGUGAGGUAAUGGCUCACCAAGGGUACGAUCGGUAGCUGGUCUGAGAGGAUGAUCAGCCACACUGGAACUGAGACACGGUCCAGACUCCUACGGGAGGCAGCAGUGGGGGAAUAUUGCGCAAUGGGCGAAAGCCUGACGCAGCCACGCCGCGUGAAGGAUGACGGUCUUCGG